rnacentral:lncRNA from 1 species
AUGGAACUGCGUGGGGUAAACAGGUUAGAAACUUAUGCUCCUGAAGUCACAAACUUCAGUAACGUGUUAUCCCUCACAUACUAGUAAUAAUAAUUUUUGAGUAGUUUUAAUAUUUAUAUGUAAAAUAUUCAAUUAUUGUGCAGUUAAUAUAAUCUAUGAAACAAUAAUUUUCAUAUUUUUCAAUUAUUCAAUAACUAUUUAAUCGAUAUAAUAUUAAAAAUUCAAGUAUUCGAUAGAAUAAUUGUUGUGCGGUGUCCACUCAGUGGGACCCACACUUUGUUGAAAAUAAA